AAAAAAAGAACGAAAAUUCUUGAGUGAAAGAAUAAACAGUUACAGAUGCAUGCACAAAGAAAGCCCUAAGGGCAGGGAGAGAGGGUGGAUGGGUAGGGAAGAACCUGGAGGACAAGUCUCAUACUAAAUCAAGGAAAAGAUACCAACAAUGCACACAAGACAAGAAUUUACAGCCUUUCCUUUGACACCCCCUUCCCGCAGACAUCUAACUGCAAAUACAAAUCAUCAAAAUACAAUGAAAAAGUCCCCACUCAAGCUCUUUGCUGGACUAGAUAUCUUACAUCCAAAAAUUUUCAUGAUGUCAGCUUCAACCCCCACUAAGAAAAAA
rnacentral:misc_RNA from 1 species